rnacentral:rRNA from 1 species
AUUGAACGCUGGCGGCAGGCCUAACACAUGCAAGUCGAGCGGAUGAGAGGAGCUUGCUUCUCGAUUCAGCGGCGGACGGGUGAGUAAUGCCUAGGAAUCCGCCUGGUAGUGGGGGACAACGUUUCGAAAGGAACGCUAAUACCGCAUACGUCCUACGGGAGAAAGCAGGGGACCUUCGGGCCUUGCGCUAGCAGAUGAGCCUAGGUCGGAUUAGCUAGUUGGUGAGGUAAUGGCUCACCAAGGCGACGAUCCGUAACUGGUCUGAGAGGAUGAUCAGUCACACUGGAACUGAGACACGGUCCAGACUCCUACGGGAGGCAGCAGUGGGGAAUAUUGGACAAUGGGCGAAAGCCUGAUCCAGCCAUGCCGCGUGUGUGAAGAAGGUCUUCGGAUUGUAAAGCACUUUAAGUUGGGAGGAAGGGUUGUAGAUUAAUACUCUGCAAUUUUGACGUUACCGACAGAAUAAGCACCGGCUAACUCUGUGCCAGCCGCCGCCGUAAAAC